rnacentral:lncRNA from 1 species
UAGGCCCGGCCGCGCGACGCGCGUGCUCCUUCCCUGGCUCCCCGCCCUGUUUUCCCUCACCCUCCUGGGAACGUAACGCGGGGUUCGCAGCAUCUGGGCGCCUACCGGGGCGCGUCGACACAGGGUCUAGCAAGAAGAGUGACUCGGAGCUACAGUGGUAAUUCGGCGCUGAAGCCAAGUCGAAGACGCGGAGUGUACACACGGCCCUGCGGCCACUGGAGGGGAGCGCCAGGGCAGCUCUGGCAAGAGGCGGUAGGUGGGAGCGAGUCGAGGCGGCGUUUGUCUCCUUCUGCUUGCCGUAGGAAGUGGAGUGCUGGAAGCCUAAAGAGCGACUCGCCUCUUUCCCAAACCUUACAGUCGCCCCACCCCCUCCUUCGCGGCCCGUUACAGGAAUCCGGCCACCGCCACCACCGUAGGGAGUACUUGGGGGUUGUCUGUAGAGUCACGGCUGCAGUGGGCAGCCUUUGUCCAAGGGACGUUCGAUUUUCUCCUCGCCCUUAGCUUUUGUGCCGCGGAGAGGCAGUGCGCUGCUAAGAAACACCGGGGCUGUCCACGCCGGCAUCGCCGAAGUCCCUCGCCACUGUAGGUCGUUUUCCUUUGGAGAUUAUUCCAGCACAGGAGAGCGUGAGCGGAAAUUAAUGUCCGCAUGCAGUCCCUGCGCUGUGCCAAGUGCUGGACUACGUUACCUGUUUAAUUUAGCCCUUACAACACCAAAGGCAGAUCUACCGGGCAACCGGUCCCCAGUUUGAUGCAACUUAAUUUUCUCACGCUGAAUUGCAGUCUAUUUUCGUUUUGUCAGAGCCAUGCUAAGAGGUUUACAGCAGCCAUUAAUUUAAUGUAGAUAAACUAUCUAUAAACCGACAGAGUGACGUGAGUUAUAUUUAUUCCCUGCCUCUCCGUGUUUAUUAAGAUAACUUAAAAUGCCUUUGAGAUGAGUGGAAUUCAGCGUCAUUUCAUUCACACCUCCCACCACCAUAAUUAACUAGUUUACACUCCCUCACAAUCUCAUUAACCUUUUCCCCGUCUGUCUUUAGUCUUCACAUUCAUUCACCUAAUUCUACUGUUUGAUCCCGCCCAGGUUCUCUUAUUUUUUUUCCCUCCCAGGAUACACUUGAAUCACUGCAGCUCUUGGGGACCUGAAGUCUCCCCUUUCAGUACUUCCAACAUAUGACUACCAAUUGUUAGAGGAGGUGCUGCUUGACAAGGUGACUGUAAUAGCUGCCAUAAGACAGGCAUCCUAAACUAAUUCAUUUCCUAGAUAUCCAGGUACUGGAUAAAAAAAAAAAAAAAGCUUUUUUUUCCCUCUAUUCUUUAACCACUUUCAAGAACUUUCUCAUCUCAGCCUCAAAGUCUAACCAAAUUUCCCUUACCAGAAGUUUGGACUUGCUUGGAUCUGUCCCCCUUUCUUUUUUCCAGUUUAUCUUUGGUAAUGGCACUAUCUGACCUAUGGGUGCCCCACCAUUGUAUUCUGGAAACACUUAUUAACUUGUCUGAUUCACAGCUGGAAAAGAAUUUUGCCUCAGGAUGACUCAAGAAGGGUCUGCAGCAUUUGGGCGCACCCAUACCUGAUUUAGCUAAUACAUACUGAGUAUUCUUUAUCUGAAAUGCCACAACUAUAAGUGUUUCAGAUUGGGAUUUGUUUUUUUGAAUACUUGCAUUUAUAUAAUGAGCUAUUUUAGGGAGGGGACCCAAGUCUAAAUGAAGUUCAUUUAUGUUUCAUAUACACAUGAUACACAUCCUGAAGGUAAUUUUAUAUAAUAUUUUAAUAAAUGUAAAAACGGAGUUUCUUGGGAUUUUCCACUUGCAGUAUCAUGUCAGCAUUCGAAAAUUUUUGGAUUUUGAAGCCUUUCAGAUUUCCAGAUUAAGGAUGCAUCAUCUGUAUUUUUCUGCUUUGUUUUGCUUUGUUUUUUUAAGAUGGGAUCCUUAUGUUGCCCAGGCUGGUCUGGAACUCCUGAGAACCAGGGAUCCUCCUGCUUCAGAUUCCUAAGUGCUGAAAUACAGGCAUGUGCUGCCACACAUCCAACUUCAUCUGUAUGUAAAUAAGACUUUGGACUUACAGUUCAGCAACUGAAAUGCUCAACUUUUGAGGCGGUUGAUAUAGGGUAAAUAAAAUUUUCAUGUGAGAAAGACAUGAAUUUUGAGGAUAUGGAAGCAUAGCAUUAUGGAUUGAAUUGGUUUCCCUCAAAACUCAUGUUGAAAUUUUACUCUCCGAUGAAGUCAUACCCAAUCUGGUAUUUUGAUGUGACAGCCCCAAACAGACCAAUAUAAAUACCGGGAAGAAAGUUAAAAGACAACACAGAAUGGGGAAAAGUUUUGCAAGUAAUGUAUCUGCUAUUCUCCCUACAAAGUACAAAUCAAAAUUAAACUAUAAAAAGAUACCCAGGCCUGGAGGCAGACACCUGUAAUCCCAGCAGUUUGGGAGGCUGAGACAGGAGGAUCAUGAAUUCAAAGCCAGCCUCAGCAAAAGCAAGGUGCUAAGCAACUCAGUGAGACUCGUUCUUAAAAUAAAAUACAAAAUAGGGCUGGGGAUGUGACAAAGUAGUUGAGUACCCCUGAGUUCAAUCCCCAGUACCAGAAAAAAAAAAAAAAAACAAUAAAAAGACUAAUCCAUUUUAAAAAUAAGGAAUACUGGAUGCAGUGGCACUUGCCUUUAAUCCUGGUGAUUCUGGAGCCAGAGGCAAGAAGGUUACAAGUUCAAGGCCAACCUAGGCAAUGUGUAUAGAGACCCUGUCUCAAAAUAAAAUAAAAAGGACUGGGGAUAUACCUCAGUGGUAGAGUACUCCUGGUUUCAAGCCCCAGUAUGAUAAGAGAGAGAGAGAGAUUUCUCCAAAUAUAUUCAAAUUGUUAAUAAGGAUGUGAAAAGUUCCUCAACAUAGUCAUUAGGAAAAUGCAAAUCAAAACUGAAACAAGAUACCAUAUUAAACCCAUUAAGAAGGCUAAAAUUAAAAAGAAAUGUUGGUUAGAGUGUGAAGAAUUGGAGCCCUCAUAUAUUGCUACAGGCAAUGUAAAAUGAUGUAGCCAUUUUGUAAAAUCAUCUGCCAGUCCUUUGAAAAGUUAAAGUUUCCCUAUGACCCAUCAAUUCCACUUCUAAGUAUAUAGCCAAGAAAAUGGAAAACAUGUCCACACAAAAGUUUGUAUGUGAAUAUUACAGCAGCAUUAUUUAUAAUAAAUAUACAGUAGAAACUAAAUCCCUCAUGAUUUAUGAAAAAGAACCCCUAGCUUUUCAUUCAUUGCUGGCUUGCAAGAAAAUGAGGGCAUUGCCCUUAAAGUCUUAGUGGCCUAUAAACAACAAUUUUUUUCCUCACUAGAUUGGGAAUUUGUAACUGUUGGGAGUGGCAGGGGCAAGAGUUGACUGCCCUGGCAGCACUCUAGAUACAAGUCAAAUUCAAGUCACUUCCACAUGUCUCUCAUUCAAGGACCAGAGUAAAGGAGUGGUAUUUUCCUGAUGAUGAAAGAUAAGCACACUACAGAACUACUAAACUACAGAAACUGAUGUGAAUAGAAGUUCUGUGUGCUCACAUUAACAAAGCAAGUCAUAUAGUUAGGUCCAACAUAGUGGUAUAAGGAAGUAUACUCUGCCCACUCAUUCCACAGAGUAGAGGGAGAGAAGAAAAAGGGGAAGAAAAAUGACUUGGCCUUACCUUUAAGAAAACUCAACAAAAAUUGUGCACUUCACUAAUCCAUGUAUCUCAGGGUAAAAUCUUAGUGUAUACAAAAAAAGAAAAUUUAGUACAUUGUCAUUCUUUGUCUGAAGGCAGAUAAGAAAUACAGCCUCCAUUCUGGAUUGUCAUGUACCCAAGUUAAAAUUAAGAAUAUCUAUUACUACUGGCGUAGUGGCACAUGCCUGUAAUCCCAGCAGUUUGGGAGGCUGGGGAAGGAGGAUCAUGAACUCAAAGCCAGCCUCAGCAAUUUAGUGAGGGCCUGAGCAACCCAGAAAGACCCUUUCUCUAAACAAAAUAUAAAACAGGCUGGGGAUGUGGCUCAGUGGUUAAGCGCUCGUGGGCUUCAACUCCUGGCACCAAAAAAAAAAAAAAAGAAUAUUACUAAAAACCAAGGAUCAAGAAAUGGGAUACCAUCAAAUUAAAAGCUACCCAGCAAAGGAAAUGAACAUGAAGAGAGAGCCUAUAGAUGGAGAAAAUCAUGACCAGCUAUCUACUCCUUUAUUAGGGGAUUAAUAUUCAGAAUAUAUAAAGAACUCAAAAGAUAACCCAAUCAAUAAGAGAGCAAAAGAACUCAACAAACUUCUCAAAAGAAGAAACACAAAUGGCCAACAAAUACAUGAAAAAAUCUUCCAACAUCUCUAGCAGUCAGAGAGAUGCAAAUCAAAACUACACUAAGAUUUCAACUUACUCCAGUCAGAAUGAUAUUGAUCCAAAAUACAAACAAUUAUAAACUUUGGUGAGGUUGGUGGGGAAAAGAAACACUUAAACAUUAUUGGUAGGACUACAGACUUAUAAAACCACUCUGGAACGCAGUAUGGUGAUUCCUCAAAAAACUAGGAAUGGAACUACCUACCAUGUGAUCCAGCUGUCCCACUCCUUGUAUUUUCCCAGAAGAUCUAAAGUUGGCAUCAGUAGUGAUACGGCCACUUCAAUGUUUAUAGCAGCAUAAUUAACAAUAGCUAAAUUAUGGAAUCAACAAUGGAGUUCUGCUCAGUCAUAAAAGAGAAUGAAAUUAUGAUGUUUGCCAGUAAAUGGAUGGAAAUGGAGAAUAUCAUGCCAAGUGAAAUAAACCAAACUCAGAAACUCAAAGGUUAAAUGUUUUCUCUCAUGUGGAAGCUAGAGUAAAAUAAAGGAAAGAAGGAGGGAAGGAUAGUACAACAUGAAGAUAAAGGGAAGAUCAGUAAUUUAGAAGAGAGAUUGAGAGGUGGAGUGGAAGGAUGGAUAAGGGGAGGCAAUGCAGAAUGAAUUAUUUAAAAAUCAUGUGUAUGUAUGAUAUACCACAGGAAAUUUCACCUUUAUGCAUAAGUAAAAAGAACCCAUCACUUAAAUGUAUAGAUGAGUGAAAGGAAGUCUAGUAAAGUAGAAGAAGGAGAAUGGGAGAUGGGAAGGAGGACAGGAGGGAAAAGGCGAUAAUCGCGGACUGGAAUUGAAUUCCAUACAUGUAUGAAUUUGUCAGGAUGAACCCAAUUACUAUGCAUAACUAUAAAGCUCUAAUAAAAAUAAUAAUAUUAAUAAUCCCCUUAUAUUUCUUUUUUUUAAGAGAGAGAGAGAAAAUUUUUUUAAUAUUUAUGUUUUAGUUUUUGGCGGACACAACAUCUUUGUUUGUAUAUGGUGCUGAGGAUCGAACCCGGGCAGCACACAUGCCAGGCGAGCGUGUUACCGCUUGAGCCACAUCCCCAGCCCUCCCUUAUAUUUCUAGUUUAGGUUUUCUUUAAAUCAUUAAGAAAACACUAUAAAAAUAUUUUACAUUCCCCUUUUUCAAAUUGACAUAUGGUUUAUUCUGUUAAUGUUUUGAAUUAAAUACAGAAUACUAAUGCAAAUGUUUAAUAAUGGAAUAAAUUUGAAUCAAGGUAUAUAAAAAUCCAGGCGUGGUGGCGCACACCUGUAAUCCCAGCGGCUAGGGAGGCUGAGGCAGGAGGAUGGCAGGCUUGAGGCCAGCCUCAGCAAUUUAGCCAGACUCUAAGAAACCUAGCAAGACCCUGUCUCAAAAUAAAAAAUAAAAAGGGCUGGAGAUACGGUUUAGUGGUUAAGCACCCUUAGAUUAAAACGAAAGAUAUAUAUUUUUAACAAAAGAAUAUCUGGGACUGGGGUGGGGCUCAGCAGUAGAACACUUCCUAGCAUGUGUGAAGCACUGGGUUCAAUUCUCAGCACCACAUAUAAAUAAAUAAAUAAAGGUCUAUCAACAACUAAAAAAAUAUAUUUAAAAAAAAAGAAUAUCUGUUACUAGCCAGGUGCCAUAGCACACACCUUUGAUCCUAGCUACUUAAGAGGCUAAGACAGGAGGUAAAUUUAAGGCCAGCUCAAAAUACAAAAAAAAAAAAAAAACAAACAGGUGGCUCACACCUGUAAUCCCUGGGUCUCUGGAAGCAGUUCAAAACCAGCCUCAGCAACAGGGAGGUGCUAAGCAACUCACUGAGACCCUGUCUCUAAAUAAAAUACAAAAUAGGACUGAGAUGUGGUUCAGUGCCCCUGAGUUCAAUCCCCAGUACCACCCCUCCCCAAAAAACAACAAAAAUUAAUGGUAUUGACUCAACUGCUGAGUUACGUCCCCAGAGUCUCACUAAGUUGCCCAGGAUGACCUCCCGCGUGUGUCUCAGCCUCUUAAAGUGCUGGUAUUACAUGUGUAUACCACCACCUGGCUCAAAAAUGUAAAAUAUAAAGGGUUGGGGAUCUAGCUCAGUAGUAGAGCACCACUGGGUUCAAUCUUCCAUAGGGGGUGGUAGGGCAAGGUCUAUUACUGAAGUAUGUAGAAAAUGACUAUUGAGAGGAAACCUGUGCCACAACUUAAAAAAAAAAAAAAAUUCACUGAAAUUUCAAAACUUCAUUGAUACAUUCAAUACAUCUGAAGAACAAGUGAAAUGGAAGAUCCAACAAAAGAAAGUAUGUAUAAUGCAGCACAUAAAAAAUGAAGAUAAAAUAUGACAGAUUAAAAAGCAGUUUCCUAGUUUAAAUCUAUUUAGAAAUCCAAGAAUGAGGUCAGUUUAUUUUCAAAGUGAUCACGAGUUCUUUCCAAACUGAUAAAAGACAUUAAUCUAUAAAUCAGGAAUCCCUAAGAAUACUAAUCAGGAUAAAUGAAAAAAUGUCCUAACUAGAAAUAUUGUAGUAAAAUUUAGAUCGUAGAAGACAAAGACCACAUCUUAAAAUCAGUUGUAUUAGUUUCCUAGGACUGCCUAUAACAAAAUGCCACAAACAGAAUGGUUUGGACAAUUGAAAUUUUUGUCUCACAGGGAGUGUAGCUCAGUGGUGGAACUACACCACUACACAUGUGCUUAGCAUGCACAUAUAUAAGGUCCUGGAUUUGAUCUCUAGCGGCAAAAAAAAAAAGUUCUGGAGGCUACAAGUUCAGAAUCAAGGUGUCAGCAGGAUAAUGCCCCCUUUGAAACCUGUAAGGACAUUCCUUUCUUGCCUCUUCCUGGCUUCUGGUGAUUUGCUGGAAUUCUUUACAAAGAAUUGCAAAGUUGCAGCACUUCAGUCUCUGCCUCCAUCAUCACAUGGAACUCUCCCUAUGUCUUUUCUCCUGUUUUUACUUGUUUUGUUUAUGGUUGUUUUGUUUUGAGAUGGAUUUCUCUAUAUUGCCCAAGCUGUCCUCUAACUCCUUUAUUCAAGUGAUUCUCCUGUUUCAGCCUUCCAGGUGACUAUAGGCACAUGCCACUAUGCUUGGCUUUCCAGUUCUUAUAAGCCACACAAGUUAUUUGGUAUUAAGAACCCACUCUCCUCCAGUGUCUUCUCAUCUUAACUAAUUAUGUCUGCAAUGACACUAUAGAUGCUCCUCAUUUAUGAUGUGGUUAGCAACCCUGUAAACCCAUCAUAAAUUGAAAAUAUUUUGAAUCCAUAAUGCAUUUAAUACACCUAGUCCACCAACCAUCAUAGCAACAGUACAUUGUGUUAUCAAUUAUUUCCGCUCAUGAUUGCAUGGCUGACACAGCUGUAGCUUGCUAUUGCUGCUCAGUGUCACCAGAGUAUUCAUACCUCAUAUUACUAGCCCAGAUGAAAGAUCAAAUUUCAAAAUUCAAAGUAUGCAAAAUCCAUGUCAUUUUUGCACUAUCUUCAGUCAAAAAUUCAUAAGUCAAACCAUCAUCAGGUAAGUACCAUCUCUAUUUCAAAAUAAGGUCAACUUCUGAGGUACUGUGGGUCACAAUCUCAACAUAUUUUUUUUGAAGGACAUAAUUCAACCCAUAACAUCGAUCAAAUAAAGUUCAGCCUCCUGACAAAGGAACAUCAAUUAGAAUAACAGCAGAAUGUAUAAACAAACAAGAAGUUACAGAAGGUGGAAAAAAAUCUUGAGGUGCUGAAAGAAAAGAAACUGUUAUCUUAGAAUUGUGUACCCAAUGAAACAUUUUAUAAGAUGAAGGGAAAAAUAAAGAUACUUUCAGGUAUAUAAAAACAGUUUUACUAGCAAUUUAUCUUCAUCAAAGAAGAAUCUAAAUUAUACUUCAGAAGAAAAAUAACCCUAUAAAAAGAUGUGAAACACAGGAAGAUGGUGAUCAAAAAAAUUGGUGAACAUGCAGGUAAAUCCAAAUACACAGUGUUUGUUAUUUAAGAAGAAAUAGAAAUUCUGAAUGUUCUAGAACAAAUUUAAAUAAUAGUAAAUGCUAUUGAAUUUCUUAAAAAAUUAUACUGGGUUUGGUAGCAUACAUUUGUAGUUCCAGCUACUUGGGAGGCUAAGGGAGGAAGAUUCAGAGUUUGAGUCCAAUCUGGUAAAAUAAAUUCUCAUAUUUUUUUUAAAAGGCUUAGAUUAUUUGAUAAAUUAGUUAUACAGAAUAUUCAAGGAAGCCAGGCAAGGUGGUACACACUUAUAACCCCAGCAGCUAAAGAGGCUAAGGCAGGAGUAUUUCAAAACAAAAAAGAUGUGAAAGAGAAUGGUUCUACUCUAGCUCAUUCAGUUAAGUAUAUAAAAUAUUGAUACCAAAGCCAGACAAGGAUAGUAAAAGAACAUUAAAUUGUAGAACAAUUAUACUUACAAAGAAAGAUGCAAAAAUAUAAAUUGCAAAGCAAAUUCAACAGCAUACUUAAAAGGGUAGUGUAUUAUAGCCAAGUGGAGUUUACCCAGGUUUACAAAUUGACAAUAUUUGAAAAUCAGUUAGUGCAAUUCAUGGGCUGGGGAUGUGGCUCAAGCGGUAGUGCGCUCGCCUGGCAUGCGUGCGGCCCAGGUUCGAUCCUCAGCACCACACACAAACAAAGAUGUUGUGUCCGCCAAAAACUAAAAAAUAAAUAUUAAAAAAAAAAAGUUACUGCAAUUCACCAUAACAUUUUAAAAAUUCAAUCAUAUCAGUAGAUAAAAUAUUUGAUAAAAUUCAAUGCCAGGGGCUGGGGAUGUGGCUCAAGCGGUAGCGCGCUCGCCUGGUGUGCCUGCGGCCCGGGUUCGAUCCUCAGCACCACAUACAAACAAAGAUGUUGUGUCCGCCGAAAACUAAAAUAAAUAAAUAAAUAAAUAUUUUAAAAAUUCUCAUCUCUCUGUCUUUAAAAAAAAAAAAAAUUCAAUGCCAGUUUAUCAUAAAAACUUACCAAAAAGGAAAUUUUCCUUAAAAAAAAAAAAAAAACUAUUAACAGAAAUCCAAAAUAAGGUUGGGGAUGUGGCUUAAUAGUUGAGUGCCCCUGAGUUCAAUCCCCAGUACCAAAUUUUUAAAAAAUCCUAUAACAGCAAUAAAAAAUUUUAAAUGUACUCCUUUUAAAAUCGGGGCUGGGCUGGGCCACGCUUGUAAUCCCAGCGACUUGAGAGGCUGAGGCAGGAGGAUCACAAAUUCAAACCCAGUCUCAGCAACUUUGCAAGCCUCUGAGCAACUUGGGAGAUAUGGCUUGGCAGUUAAGCACCCGUGGGUUCAAGCCCUGGUACUGGACAGGUAGUUCAGGGGUAAGGCAAUUGCCUAGCAUGUGUGAAGCCCUGCAUUUAAUUUGCAGCACUGAAAAGAGAGAAAGAGGAGGCAGGAGACGGGGCAGAGAGAAAAAUGGACGGAGGGAGGAAGGAAAGAAGGAAUGAAAAAAAGAAAUUACUAAUUCACAAAUGAUAUGAUUGUUACCUUUAAGGUUUUCUAUAUGGGAGAAUCUAAACAUUAAAGAAUUUAGUAAAGCAUCUAGAUACAAAAGAAAUACACAAAAAGCAAGCCAAUACUACUUUUUUGUUAUGGGAGUGGGUACCAGGGAUUGAACUCAGGGGCAUUCAACCACUGGGCUACAUCCCCAGCCCUAUUUUGUAUUUUAUUUAGAGAUAGAGUCUCAGUGACUUGCUUAGGGCCUCGCUAAAUUGCUGAAGCUGGCUUUGAACAAGCCACUGGGAUUACAGGCAUGCACACCGUGCUAGGUGCCAAUGCUACAUGCUAUUUAGAAAAUGUAAUUUUAAAAUGAUACCUGAAGAAAAAUAUAUAAAUGAGCCAUAAACCUAUGAUGAGAUACUCAACUUCAGAUAAAUGAAAUGCAAAUUGAAAAUUACACUGAAAUAUCAUCAGAUUGGGAAAAAUUCAUAACCUUGGGCUGGGGAGCUCAGCGGUAGAACACUCACCUAGCACAUGUGAGGCCCUGGGUUCAAUCCUCAGCACCACAUAAAUAUAAAUAAAUAAAGGUAUUUUUUAAAAAUUCAAAACCUUUAUAACAUAGUAUUAGAAAUACAAGAAACAGGCAAUCUCACACUUUGCUGGUGAAAAUAUAAAACAGUACAAUAAUAAGUCUUAUUCUGAAGACUUAUUAGGCAUCAUCUAACAAAACUACAUAUGUAUGAGUGCCCUUGGACUCAGUGCUCUCUCAUUUCUAGGAUGUGUUAGUUAGCUUUCUGUCAAUAUAAUAAAAUAUCUGAGAUAUUAACUUAUAAACACAGAAGGUUUAUUUUGGCUCAGGUUUUAGAGGUUCCAGUCUCUGGGUACACUCACGUUUAUAGGCCUCUGGUGGGGAUGCCUCAUGGCCAGGAAGCAAAAAAGAAAGGGGAAGGAUCUGGAGCCCCACAAUCCCCUUUGGGGGCAUGCCCUGAGUAACCUAAAAACCUCCCACUAGGCACCACCUCUUAAAUGUUUCGCCACCUCCUAAUAGCACCAUAUUAACCAACCCUUUAACACAUGGGCUUUGGGGGGAUAUUUAUGAUCCAAAACUGGUCAACAGAUUUACCAUAAAUAGAUACCUCCACAAACAUUUAACAACACAUACACAGGUUAUUCAUUGAGGCAUUAUUUAUAGAAGCAAAAUACUGAAAACACAGUUGGAUAAACUAUGGUAUAUAUACAUAAUUGGGAAAAGCAGUUGUGAAAAAGAAAGAAGAAGAUCUUUAAAGACUGAUAGAGUGAUUUAUAAGUUAUAUUGUUGUGUGCUACCUUAGUGUAAGACAAGAAGGAAAUAUAUGCUUAGUUUCCUUAAAAAGAAAACAGGAAGGAUGACCAGCUACUAAUUAACGUUACUGCGUUAUUCUGCAAGGGCUACCAUAAAAAAAUACCACAGACUGGAUGGCUUAAACAAUGGAAUGUAUUUCUCACAGUUCUAGAGGCUGGAAGUCCACCAUCAAAGUGCUAGGAAAUUUGGGUUUCUGAUGAGGCCUCAUUUCUUGGCCUAGAAUGGCUGCCUUCCAUUAUGCCCCCCAUGACUUUUUCUCUGUGCAUAAAGAGACAGAGAAAGCACACUCUGGUAUCCUUUCUUUUUACAAGGACUCUACCACUAAACUACAUCCCCAACCCCAGAAACAGAUUUAGUUUUUUUGUUUUUGUUUUUUCCUGCUGUUAGAGCUAUCACAGAGAAAGCAUAGAUUCCCACUUCUCAAUGGGAAGUAUGUCCAAGGAUGUGAGGCUGCGUUUCAUCUGCCACAGCAGGCAAACCUUUGGGAAAGAUUGAGAACACCAAAGAUGUAGAUAAAGAAGUCCACAACCAUACCACACUGAACAUACCCUAUCUCUUCUGAUAAAGGUGUCCAAGCACUGAAACAUCCAAUAUUUAGAGAAUGGUAAGAUAAAUAAGAACCAGCAACAGGGACUGAGGACUAUUUAUGCCAUAUGCUACUGAUAAGCCGGUAAGAUGAGAACUAAGAAUUUACAUUGGAUUUAGUAAUGUAAACAUCAAUGGGGAUGACAAGAGCAGUUGUUGGUGUGAUUGAGUUGAAAGUUUGAUUGGUUUAAGAGAGAAUGGGUUGGAUAGAAAUAUAGAUUGUGAAUAUUAGCAAUUAUUCAGAGAAUUUUUGCUGUUAGUAGGAGCUGGGGCCUAAGAUGUAGCUCAGUGGUAGAACACUUGCCUAACAUGUGUGAGACCCCAGGUUCAAUCUCCAGUCUCAGGCUCCAGGGGAAAGAAGCAGAGAAACUUAUCAGGAGCUGUAGGGCAAAUGAGAUCAACGUUCUAUUCCCAUGUACUUUCCUCCUAUACCCAGAUUCCAUUUGACAUCAUCUACUUCUUGUCACUUCUGGUUUUGAACUUAUAGGUGAAGGAAUAGUUUUGGACAGUCCUUUAUUUUAUUUGCAUAAUAGGACAAUAGCAAAAACUUGCAUUAGGGACUAAGGUUGCAGCUCAGUGGUACAGUACUUGCCUAGCAUGCAGGAGGUUCUGGGUUCCAUUCCCAGAACCACAGAGGAAAAAGGAACUUGCUUUAAGUAUCUCUUAAAACAUUUAAAUCCAAAAUUGGAAGGAGAAUAUGAUAAUGGUUUUUGGUAAUUAUAUAGCCAUACACAAUACUAUCUUUUAUCCUUUGUAUUUGAAGUUUUUGAUAUCUCAUGAAUGUUUAUAUUAUGUAGUUGAAACAGAAUUUGCCACAGUAAGUUUUAUAGUUGUAGUUUUAUAUCAAAUUGUAUAACCAAAUAUAGCAGCAUAGCAGAACAGUUAUGGGUGAGGGCUCUGGAGCGAGACUGCCUACGUUCAUGCUUCUCCAUGCCCCACUUCCCAUACCUAACAUGGAGAUAAUAAUAGUAACUAACUCAAGCCAGGUGUGCUGGCAGUCUCAGCUGCUCAUGAGGCUGAAGCUAGGAGUCUGAAAAAAUCGUGAGACCUGCUCCCCUCCCCCAAAAAAAGAUCACAGUAAAAUAGUAACUAACUCAUAAAGUUACUGCAAGGAGUGGGAAAAUACAUAUGAGGUGCUUGGAGUAGUAAUCACUAACUUAGCUUGUAGUAAAUACUUGGUAAGGUUAGCUACUAUGAUUGAGCAGUGACUCAGUUAGAAAUGCUUUCACCUGCAAGUAGAAUUCCUGGUUGACAGUGGCUUAAAUAGAAGCAAUUUGUUUCCCUUACAGAGCAGGUACCUUAGAGAUAGGUGGUUUUUUUCAAUGCCAGGGCUUUGGGUUGUCUGGUCUUCAAUCCCCUCAGACUUCUCCCUGGUGGUUGUCCUCUAUGAGAUGUAGUUGCCUUCCUAACUCUGACUUCAUCUGCUACUCUCCUAGCUCAUUCUGUUGCAGUUACACUGAAUCCAAUGCCGCUCCUAUCCAUAGUAAGCAUAUUCUACCUCAAGAACUGCUCUUUCUGAUGGGCACAGUCUUCUACCCAGAUAAUUUCAGUAAUACCAAUAAUCACAUUCUCAAAGGCAUUCAAAGGCAGGCAACUGAGCCAGCACCAUGGCACAAGGUCUGCUGUUCCAACUACUCGAGAAGCUGAGACAGGAGAUCACUUUAGCCCAGGAAUUCCAAACCAGCCCAAGCAAUAUAGUAAGAAUAUAUCUUUAAAAAAAAAUAGAAAACAGACACAAGAAAGGGCAGAGGAUUUCUUUUCAUAUGCCUCCCUCUCUUACCUGCCUUCCCUACUUUUUGUUUUGUUUUUCAUGUUUGCCUUAGUUUGAAAAACAGAGGUGCUGUCAGUUGGAGGUCAGGGCAUCUACAGUGCACUGUGAUACAGGCAGGGGGCAUGGGUGAGGCACCAAGUUGCUGCUAAUAGACAUCUAAAAUAUUUUAUAUUAAAAAACACAGGGGCAUGGGGUAAUUAAUGAUGGUGGAAUGUGAUGGUAUUACUAUCCAAAGUACAUGUAUGAAGACACGAAUUGGUGUGAAUAUACUAUGUAUACAACCAGAGAUAUGAAAAAUUGUGCUCUAUAUAUGUAAUAAGAAUUGUAAUGCAUUCUGUUAUCAUAUAUAAAUUUAAAAAUUACAUAAAUUUUUAAAAGAAAGAAAAAAACACACUUCUGAUUUUUACCGCCAAACCUGCUGUUCCCAUAUCUCCCUCAUCUUAGUAGAUGGCAGCUUCAUCCUUCCAGUUUGUAGACCAAAUAUUGGAGUCCUCCUUAAUUCCUCUCUCACACACUUCACAUUCAAUUUAUUAAUAAAUCCCAUUGGCUCUACCUUCAGAUUAGGUCCACAAUCUAACUAUUUUCAUCAGCUCUGUCAUUACUGUGCUGACUCAACCCACCAUCAUUUCUGGUGUGCAUUAUUUCCAUAGUUUCAACUCUCUCUGUGCUUUCUUCCUACCUGCCCCUAAAUGUUUUUUUUUUUUUUAAUAUUUUUUUAGUUAUACAUGGACACAAUAUCUUUGUUUUGUUUAUUUUUUUUAAUGUGGUGCUGAAGAUGGAACCCCGUGCCUCACAUGUGCGAGGCAAGCACUCUGCCAUGUGAGCCACAACCCCAGCCCUGCCCCUAACUGUUUAAAAGCAAGGUCAUGGAGCAGUGUGAAGAAGAAGAGAGGAGAACGAUCCCCG